GAAUUUUUUAUAUAUCCACUACUAUUACUUUGAGAUUAUUUUGUUGAAUACGAAAUGAGUUGAGAGCAUUUAGUUCUGACGAUCAAGAAGGAAUAUCACACAGGAUUCAUCAUCAUGCAAAUGUUGAGGUUAUGCUGCUCUACAUCAUACAUACUAAAGAAAUAAAUAAAAAGAAUUAACGAAAAUAACAUAAGUGUGAGAGUAGAAUCUGUGACGCCAACUAAAGUAAUACAUGAACAGUGUCUUCACCUAUAAUUAAUAAAUAAUGUACUAGUGGAAAUGA